GGAAUUCCUGGUGUAGCGGUGGAAUGCGCAGAUAUCAGGAGGAACACCGAUGGCGAAGGCAGGUUACGAACCCUUUACUGACGCUCAUGCACGAAAGCGCGGGUAUCG
rnacentral:ncRNA from 1 species